GAUCAACGCUGGCGGCGUGCCUAAUACAUGCAAGUCGAGCGAACAGAUAAGGAGCUUGCUCCUUUGACGUUAGCGGCGGACGGGUGAGUAACACGUGGGUAACCUACCUAUAAGACUGGGAUAACUUCGGGAAACCGGAGCUAAUACCGGAUAACAUUUGGAACCGCAUGGUUCUAAAGUGAAAGAUGGUUUUGCUAUCACUUAUAGAUGGACCCGCGCCGUAUUAGCUAGUUGGUAAGGUAACGGCUUACCAAGGCAACGAUACGUAGCCGACCUGAGAGGGUGAUCGGCCACACUGGAACUGAGACACGGUCCAGACUCCUACGGGAGGCAGCAGUAGGGAAUCUUCCGCAAUGGGCGAAAGCCUGACGGAGCAACGCCGCGUGAGUGAUGAAGGGUUUCGGCUCGUAAAACUCUGUUAUUAGGGAAGAACAAACGUGUAAGUAACUGUGCACGUCUUGACGGUACCUAAUCAGAAAGCCACGGCUAACUACGUG
rnacentral:rRNA from 1 species